rnacentral:lncRNA from 1 species
UUUUUCAUUAUAGAAACCUCCCAUCUUUACUCCCAAUUCUUUUCCACUAAUCCCCCAUUUUCUUCCUUAUUUUGCUCCGUCCCUCUCCCUCUGAUUCUUCCAAAUUUUUAUUCGUCCAUCACUCGCUUCAUCUCCAUCUUUUUCUUCGUAUUUCUUUCCGUUCAUCUUCCUCUUUUCUUCCUAAUUUUUCUGGGAAGCAAUUGGCGAAUCAAAACCCAAAUCAGAGUCUAAGUCAUCUGGGUAUUCAUGGGUCUGCUUCUCCGGCGUCAAUGGUGAAGGUCUGCAAUCAGGGAGUCUGGACUAGGUGCAGUGUGAUUAGAGUGAUUGCUGUGCGUUUCAGACGCACAAAGAUUUUUGUAAAAAAAAAAAAAUUUGGCUUUUUUGUUUAGAAUUUUGGAUUUUGAUCUGGUUUUGAAAGUGGAAAUAUUGCAGAAUUUUUUGCCUAUUUUGCUUCGAAUUUUGCAGGAUCUGGAUUUGGAAAUGGUAGAUGAAAGGGGCGAAGCAGGGGCAUAGUUUAUAUAUUGGACCUGGGUUCCGAAUCUUGUGAGGGACAAGUAGAUGGGAGGGGCGAAGCGAGGAGGGACGAAGCAGGGAAGAGUUGGCUUAGCAGUACAGCAGAUUUUGGGGGGUUUCGCUAAGAGCCUUUAGCGAAGUGCCUAGUCCCAUUUAGUCGGGACGAGUCUCAUUAAAGCUUGUCCUAGUUUGUAUCAAACACAGGACUAGACUACCCCUUAGUCCAGUCCAAUCUAGUGAAAGUUAGUGAGUGCAAACAAACGCACCCUAAAAGCUUUAACGUCAUCCAAGCCUCUCUAUGGAAAUAAGACUUUUGCUCGAACAAUGUAUGCAAGAAAAGAACUUGUAGCUAUGAUCUAAACAUUAGUUACUGACUAAAGCAUUAAAAGUUGAAUCAAUUAGGUCCCCGGUAAAAUUAAAAAAAAAACCGUCUAGGCCUCACUUAGAUGCUCAGACGCUAAGCUUUUACACGCCAGCCUGACCUAUGAAAUAUGCUAUUUGGAUAAAACAAAGUACGAAAAGCCAUUUGAAAUUCAAAAUGAGGGAAAAUAUGGUGGGGAAUGCAACAUUUGACUUAAGCAAUUGUGAUGCAAAUUAAUGGAGCAGGUAGUGACGAGUGGACUUUCUAGCUGCAAUUACUGAUCUCAAUUCACCUGCUCUUCUCAUGGUCGGACGCACAUUAUGACAAGGGUGGGAAAGUUGCCCAUCCUACCACCGUAAAAUCCCUUCAGCGAAGCCCAUUUUGCCACCUAGAUUGCUCAGGCGGAGGAAGAAGCAAUUUUUUUAAAACAAAUCUUAGACCCAAAGGAGGUCAUUUAGUUCAGCACUUAUGGCGUGUU